UAAAUCAUUUCUCUAUUUUUGUUGUUGCUAUGAAUGAGAAUCUUGCUGAUUCAGAGGCCCCAUCUUCUCUUGGAACAGAUAUGAAUCACCGGCACUUUAACUGAUUGGAACUUGCAAUAAAAAUAUUCAUUCGUGUCACGACAGGACACGGCUGUUCCUGCCAAGUAGUGGCUGCCGUCUCUCACACUGGCUCGGUCUAGAAGAGGCAAACAAUAACUCCUUAAAGGCUCUCUCCUGGCCUCGGGCCUGCAGUACAGUACAGGCAGUCUGGUGUAUUAGCAGCAGCAGCAGCAGCAGCAACAGCAGCAGCAGCAGCACAGAGCUGCAUUCUUGGCUGCAGAUGAUAAACACAGAGCAGAGUGGACACUUCAGAAGAGGCUCCACGCGGCUGGAAGGGGAGGAUCAUGUGCAGUCGAAAAAAGAAAAGACCGAGACUGUCAUAGAUAUGUCUCAGGCAAUCACGGGAACUCGGGAAGUGAUAAGCUGAGUUUAUCAAUUGCUGGGUUAAGGUGAACAAAAUACUGCAGUUUUUUUCAUUUAUUAAACAAACAAAAACAAUAAAACUAAUCUGUUUGCAUGAUUAAUGAGAAAUAAUCAUUCACCGAAUAAUACUGGCUGUUCUCCAGUUAUUAAAUUGAACAUUUAAGAAGAUAAUAAAUCUUCUCCUGGGCGUUUGACGCAGUGUGAGCUGUUGGCGCUGUGCAGAACUGUUCUUUUCUCUGUUUUUAUAGCCUUGUGAAUGUGAGCUUUUUACAUACAUUUUAAUGUUUGAUGCCAUUUUAAUGUUAUUGUACAGCCCUUUGGCAACUGUGUUGUUUUAACAUGUGCUCUAUAAAUAAAGUGGAUUGGACGGUAUUACAGGUAAUCUACAUUUAAUACCAACAAGUUACACUUUUGUUUUGCAAAAAAGAAUGGGUACAAUAAACAAUCAAAUCCAA